rnacentral:lncRNA from 1 species
CCUUCAGACGCGAUAACAAGAACAAGCUCUUGGAACAUAAAGGAGUCAUUUUUUCGAACAAAAAUACAUUUGUUGUGGACCUGGGAUUCCUGGAAGUGCUUUCUGAUGAAGACAACCAAAGAACAACUUGUCAGGUGGUGCAUUGGAGACUGAUGUGUUCCUGUCCUGUCUUUUCACAAUACUAUUGCAGAUCAACAUAAAAGCCUAAAAGACAGCCGUGGUGUCGCUCUUCAUUUCUUGGUUCUCCUGUGGUGCAUAAGAAACCCGCUACAGAUUGGUGCCGUGACCCGGAUCAACAGAUCAGCUGCAGCAGAUCGCCGGGGGACUCCUACACAGAACUGGAUCGACAUCACACGUUUAAAACAUUUGAGGGCAAGGUGGUGAGAUCCUGGCUCAAGUCUCUUCUGAAGGAGUGAAAGCAGUUUUGGAAUCCUGUCUGG